rnacentral:rRNA from 1 species
GACGAACGCUGGCGGCGUGCUUGACACAUGCAAGUCGAGCGGGAUCCAACCGGUGGCAACACCGGGGAAGAUCUAGCGGCGAACGGGUGAGUAACACGUGAGCAACCUGCCCCGAAGGCUGGGAUAACACCGGGAAACCGGUGCUAAUACCGGAUGUCGUCAUUAGGCCGCAUGACCUGAUGAUGAAAGGAUUCAUCGCUUCGGGAGGGGCUCGCGGGCUAUCAGCUUAUUGGUGGGGUAACGGCCUACCAAGGCGACGACGGCUAGCUGGUCUGAGAGGACGACCAGCCACACUGGGACUGAGACACGGCCCAGACUCCUACGGGAGGCAGCAGUGGGGAAUCUUGCGCAAUGGGCGAAAGCCUGACGCAGCAACGCCGCGUGGGGGAUGAAUGCCUUCGGGUUGUAAACCCC